rnacentral:rRNA from 1 species
AGCAGCCGCGGUAAUUCCAGCUCCAAUAGCGUAUAUUAAAGUUGUUGCAGUUAAAAAGCUCGUAGUUGAAUUUCGGGAUUUAUCCGUUGGUCGGGCUUUUGGUCUGUACUGACGUGAUGGAUUCCUACCUUCUGAAUAACCGGCAUGCCAUUAAUUUGGUGCGCCGGGGAAGCAGGACUGUUACCUUGAAAAAAUUAGAGUGCUUAAAGUAGGCUUAUGCCUGAAUACAUUAGCAUGGAAUAAUGAAAUAGGACGGCAUGGUUCUAUUUUGUUGGUUUCUAGGAUCACCGUAAUGAUUAAUAGGGAUAGUUGGGGGCAUUAGUAUUCAAUUGUCAGAGGUGAAAUUCUUGGAUUUAUUGAAGACUAACUUCUGCGAAAGCAUUUGCCAAGGAUGUUUCCAUUAAUCAAGAACGAAAGUUAGGGGAUCGAAGACGAUCAGAUACCGUCGUAGUCUUAACCAUAAACUAUGCCGACUAGGGAUCGGACGAUGUUAAUUUUUUCAAUGACUCGUUCGGCGCCU